CAGGUUGUGGACAGUUAAUUUUGUCAUAGCCUCUCUCAUCAGAUAACCUGCCACAGCAAUGAAAGAUUUCUCACAAACAAUUAACUUUCCUCUCCAUAUGUAAACUGCUUGAUCUCAGGGUCCUUGAUAUUACGAUUUAUUUCCUUUGAGCCAAAGAUGAAAAAGGACUGCCAUCUGUUGACAAUUUAGAAAACGUCUAUAUGCUUCAUUGCAGAAAUUGAGAGGGAAGAGAUUUGGAAACGUUCUUCUGGUGAAAGACGAAGACUGACUAUCUGAAGAAAUAAAACCGUCUACCAACUUUCCAUUUUGGCACAAUCCUUUUUCUGAAAGAAACGGUGCGCACCACAGUAGUAUCCUAGAACUGUGUGGCAUUAGAACUUCAAAGUGCCAUUCACUUACACAACCUCUGCAACAGCCACUAAAUAACUGGAAUCAACCUGAUACCAUUUUUCCAGUAUGUUGAUACCCAUGCCUACAACUAUUUAUUAUCGCUGCAUUUUAACUGUUUUAUGCUUGUUAUUUUUAACUGCCCUCUUGUCCAUAAUC